UGGCGCGCGCGGCGGGGCCCGGGCCCGGCCCGUGGGCAGCGGUUCCAGUGCUCCAAUUCCAGCCAGCAGGCUCAGAGGCAUGGGAGAGGAGUCCGAGGAAGGAGCGGAAGAGAUCAUCACCUGAGCCAAUGAAGAUGCUUCCGCGGACCGCAGGCGGCCUCCAAGGAAACCUCGACACCUUCGGUCUUUCAGAUGUAUUGUGGCUCAGAGCCAGGCCAAGCAGGAAAUUCUAUGAGACUCUUGUCUGCAUUAACCACCCAAAAGUGGAUGUGGCCCAUGGGCUGGGUGGGCUACAUUAUACCAGCCUACGUGGGCUGAGCCACUUUACACCCAGCACCUAUGGGCUGGACUACACUGUUCCUGCACCCGUGGGCUGGGCCACUUGACACUCUGUGUUCAUGGGCUUCUCUUUUAGCCCCCAUUGAAGAAAUGCAAAGGCUACUAAAUUGUCAGAUUGACCCCAUGGAUGGUUGGUAACAAACGUAAACAUGGGCACAAAAUGGUUUGAUUCUCAAUCAAGAUUGCACAGGGAAUUCUUUUAUUGUUAUUAUAAAGGCCAUAGACAGAGGAGUUACCGGUCUUGCUUUUGCCUAGGACCAGCCUCUCAUUUCUGUCUCCCGUGUAACAGGGUUAAAGGCAUAUACCACAACACCUGACUUGUUCUUUGAACUAGAAUCUUGAGAAUGAAGGCACAGCUCAGUUAGUAGAGUCCCAGCCAAUGAGCAAAAGCACCAGUUACCAAGGUCAAGUCCCAAUCUCAGACAAAAACAAAAAUAGAAUCUCACUGUCCAGGCUAGCCUCCAACUGUGAUAUCCUUGCCUCCACUUCAGUAGCUGGGGCUACAGGUAUGAUACAGGGCCUGGCCAUGAAGACCAGAUUUCUUGAUUCUCUGAAGAAGCAUAGAUAGAAAGUCUAUAAGAGCAUGAGCAUAAUUGAGUGUGAUACAAAACGCAGUUUCCUGACCCUUCGAGUUGCAAGUCUGGGGGACUGGGUUCUGCCACCUGUACACCAUGCUUGUCCCUUCUCUCCAUCAGCACUUCUCAGGGCUGGUCAGAGGAAUGUGCUGACACUGAAUGUCCCAAGUAGGUUGUCACAGAAUGACCUGCCUUCACCCAGGUGAGCUCUUACCUGUGUCCUCAAAUCUACUCCUCAAGUGAGGCCACAUGCACCAGAGCAUCUUGGUUAAAUCCAUGGACCAAGGGGGUGAAUAGCUCAAGGAUGUAAGGACAGUUUUCAAGAGUUAAUGUUUUCUUAACAUAAUUUGAUGGUUCCUCAAACUUCCAGUAGGACUUUAAUUUUGU